UUACCAUGCAAGUCGCACGAACCUUUCGGGGUUAGUGGCGGACGGGUGAGUAACGCGUUAGGAACCUAUCUGGAGGUGGGGGAUAACAUCGGGAAACUGGUGCUAAUACCGCAUGAUGCCUGAGGGCCAAAGGAGAGAUCCGCCAUUGGAGGGGCCUGCGUUCGAUUAGCUAGUUGGUUGGGUAAAGGCUGACCAAGGCGAUGAUCGAUAGCUGGUUUGAGAGGAUGAUCAGCCACACUGGGACUGAGACACGGCCCAGACUCCUACGGG
rnacentral:rRNA from 1 species